rnacentral:rRNA from 1 species
GGGGAAUAUUGGACAAUGGGCGAAAGCCUGAUCCAGCCAUGCCGCGUGUGUGAAGAAGGUCUUCGGAUUGUAAAGCACUUUAAGUUGGGAGGAAGGGUUGUAGAUUAAUACUCUGCAAUUUUGACGUUACCGACAGAAUAAGCACCGGCUAACUCUGUGCCAGCAGCCGCGGUAAUACAGAGGGUGCAAGCGUUAAUCGGAAUUACUGGGCGUAAAGCGCGCGUAGGUGGUUAGUUAAGUUGGAUGUGAAAUCCCCGGGCUCAACCUGGGAACUGCAUUCAAAACUGACUGACUAGAGUAUGGUAGAGGGUGGUGGAAUUUCCUGUGUAGCGGUGAAAUGCGUAGAUAUAGGAAGGAACACCAGUGGCGAAGGCGACCACCUGGACUGAUACUGACACU